rnacentral:lncRNA from 1 species
UACCAAAUCAAACAGCUCCAACAAGUAUAUUACACAAGGUACCAAACACUCAGCAGUCAUCAAGUUAUCCAUUAUCAAAUCCGAGCAUAUCACCUACACCUACAAAUCUCCAUGACCAAGAAAUUACUAAUACUCCUACUCAUAGCAACACUUUCAGUCAUCCACAUUCAGCGGCAAUACCGUUUUCACAAACUCCUAAAGCAAUAUCCUCCAAUCUAUCAGCACCUCUUCCAUUAGAUACAACUGCAGAAAACUCCAAUAAAACUGAUACAUCACCACAAUUUUCC